rnacentral:rRNA from 1 species
UAUCCUGACCGCGUAAAGGUAGCAUAAUCACUUGUUCCUUAAUUAGGGACUAGAAUGAAUGGCUGAACGAGGGUUUAACUGUCUCUUAUUUCAAUCAGUGAAAUUGACCUUCCAGUGAAGAGGCUGGAAUAAUUAAAUAAGACGAGAAGACCCUAUGGAGCUUAAAUUUAUAAACUUAUUAUAAAUCUAAAACCCUAAUGGGAUAAAACAAAAAUUAUUAGCUUAAAAUUUUGGUUGGGGUGACCUCGGAGAACAGAAAAUCCUCCGAAAGAUUUAUAACCUAGACCUACAAGUCAAAGUAAUACAUUACUAAUUGACCCAAAGAUAUUUGAUCAACGGACCAAGUUACCCUAGGGAUAACAGCGCUAUCCUAUUUAAGAGUUCAUAUCGACAAUAGGGUUUACGACCUCGAUGUUGGAUCAGGACAUCCCAAUGGUGCAGAAGCUAUUAAUGGUUCGUUUG